GAUGAACGCUGGCGGCGUGCCUAAUACAUGCAAGUCGAGCGAACGGACGAGAAGCUUGCUUCUCUGAUGUUAGCGGCGGACGGGUGAGUAACACGUGGAUAACCUACCUAUAAGACUGGGAUAACUUCGGGAAACCGGAGCUAAUACCGGAUAAUAUUUUGAACCGCAUGGUUCAAAAGUGAAAGACGGUCUUGCUGUCACUUAUAGAUGGAUCCGCGCUGCAUUAGCUAGUUGGUAAGGUAACGGCUUACCAAGGCAACGAUGCGUAGCCGACCUGAGAGGGGGAUCGGCCACCCUGGAACGGGGACACGGUCCAGACUCCUACGGGAGGCAGCAGUAGGGAAUCUUCCGCAAUGGGCGAAAGCCUGACGGAGCAACGCCGCGUGAGUGAUGAAGGUCUUCGGAUCGUAAAACUCUGUUAUUAGGGAAGAACAGAUGUGUAAGUAACUGUGCACAUCUUGACGGUACCUAAUCAGAAAGCCACGGCUAACUACGUG
rnacentral:rRNA from 1 species